CACCUUAAUAUACUUAUAUUGGUCAGUUCUCAAACAUUGUGAACUAUGCUGCUGUUGAUCUUUCUAUGUCCUUCUAGGCAUGCCAUCCAAAUGUAAUAAUUAUGCAAUGCUGACAAUUUUAUCAGCAUGAAUUUCAGCACAACAUGUCUUUGCUAGCGAUGACCUCUAACAAACAAAAUUUAGCGUUCUUAUUGAAAUACAAAACAUAGCCAUCACAUUUUUCAAUAUAAAUUUGAAUGGAGGACACUCAGAUUUAACAGUAUCUUAACCAUCCAUCUUU
rnacentral:lncRNA from 1 species